AUUAGAUUGGUGAAAAGAUGCACAAAGCCUGACAGAAAAGAGUUCCAGAAGAUUGCAAUGGCUACAGCAAUAGGAUUUGCCAUUAUGGGUUUUAUUGGUUUCUUUGUCAAAUUGAUCCAUAUACCCAUUAAUAACAUCAUUGUUGGAUCCUGAUUGUGUCAACUGUUAGUGUCUAGUUCAUUGGAUCAUUUCAUCACAUCUCACCAGACUUCACCACCAUACCUCAGAAACUCCUUGAAAACUGGAUUCAUCAGAAAUAAUUGAAAUAUUCAUGUUUUUAUAACAGCAAUGCUCUGUGAUUUUAUUAAAAGCUUGUCAUUCUUUUGAUAUACUAGACAGAAAAGUGAAAAAAAAACCAAUGUUUCUCAGUAUUUGAAUGAAGGGACUUUAGGAGACUAUGUUUCCAUUUUUUAGCUGUAUAUUUAUUGUAAAUUGUGUUCUAAAAUAAAAUAGAUUUAUCAAGAA
rnacentral:lncRNA from 1 species